UGCAAUGUUUACAUCGGCGAAUCACAGGGGCAUUUUGUACAAUGGGGCUGCAUAUCAUGUCAUCUAAAUGUGUUAAUUGUAGUCAAUUAUCGGCAGUGUUAUGCCUAGAGGCAAGGAUAAGAUUAUUUACAAACGCUGUGUGAUACGUAAAGAUAUUUUCACGCGUGAAAUGGUCAGAAAGCAGACACACAUAUUGUUUGACAUACAUUUUGCCAUUUUGUUUCACUGAGACUGAUCAACAGAAUUGCAAAGGCAAAGAGGAGAUACUAAGCUUUAUCAGACAAAAUCAACUGGAGUCACUCAAAACCUUCACAGAAAAAGAAAAAAGUACUUAAAAGACUCGAGCAAAAUUAUUUAAUACAAAACUGCAAGGGAAAAAAACUUGUAAGGCCAUGAAAUAAAUGGCGAUCAAAAACAUAAAGAUACUUUUUUUCAUCUUUGUUAAGUGAUUUGUGAAUUAUUAGAUUUUCUUUAAGAUGUUCUCAGCUCUCUUUGAGUAAAAUACUUUUAAUGUAGAAAUUUAUUGGAGUCUAUAAGUCGUACUGAAUAUGUCUAAUUAGUGUAUUGAAAGCUGCGUUCUAUUUAGUAUGGGUCAAGUUAAGAUAGUCAUUUCUUAAACGAUGCUAUGCAUUAAUACUGUCUUUAUCUAUAGUGUGUAGAGUUCAAAACGUGUUCCCAAUACAUGUUCAAUUUACAUUAACAAAGAGACUAUGUAGGAAUUAUCAUUAAUGUCAAAUAUCAAAUUUGAGCAUAAUAUAUCUUUAAAGAUAGCUGCACUAUAUAUUUUGACCGGAUGUGUUUACAUAAUUCUAAACUAAGAUUAGAAAGAACUAGCACUGCCCUUUUUAUACGGAACUGCGAAAUGUAAUUGCUGGUACAUUAUUUGAUUUUAAAAGUCUGGCUAGACAUUUGCUUAGUGUUUGUUUACAUUAUCAUAGACAGGAAAAAAGUUUAAAUAGCUCUAUACCGAUGGCCUCUUUAAUAUCAGCGCAUUUGCUCAGUGAAAGAGCGCUCGCCUCAAGAUAUUGAGGUCCUGGGUGCGAAAUUCUAGAUAAAGUGAAUGCAAUAUAUUAAAAUCUAAUCUGAAGUCUGCGACUUAUUUGAUAUAUGUCUUUGAAAUGAAUUUUUGCUU